AGUAAAAGUCGUAACAAGGUCUCCGUUGGUGAACCAGCGGAGGGAUCAUUACUGAGUUUACGCUCUACAACCCUUUGUGAACAUACCUACAACUGUUGCUUCGGCGGGUAGGGUCUCCGCGACCCUCCCGGCCUCCCGCCUCCGGGCGGGUCGGCGCCCGCCGGAGGAUAACCAAACUCUGAUUUAACGACGUUUCUUCUGAGUGGUACAAGCAAAUAAUCAAAACUUUUAACAACGGAUCUCUUGGUUCUGGCAUCGAUGAAGAACGCAGCGAAAUGCGAUAAGUAAUGUGAAUUGCAGAAUUCAGUGAAUCAUCGAAUCUUUGAACGCACAUUGCGCCCGCCAGCAUUCUGGCGGGCAUGCCUGUUCGAGCGUCAUUUCAACCCUCAAGCUCUGCUUGGUGUUGGGGCCCUACAGCUGAUGUAGGCCCUCAAAGGUAGUGGCGGACCCUCUCGGAGCCUCCUUUGCGUAGUAACUUUACGUCUCGCACUGGGAUCCGGAGGGACUCUUGCCGUAAAACCCCCAAUUUUCCAAAGGUUGACCUCGGAUCAGGUAGGAAUACCCGCUGAACUUAAGCA
rnacentral:rRNA from 1 species